AUAAAUAUAGAAGGUCUUAAAGACCUCUCUAACAUUUUGUGAACCGUUUAUUGUCUCUGGCGAGCUUACACUCGCCAAUUAAACUUUGUAUUAAAUUUUAGUCUAACCUAGAAAUUUUUAAAUUAAAAA
rnacentral:misc_RNA from 1 species